rnacentral:rRNA from 1 species
UCAAGUGAAGAAGCGCAUACGGUGGAUGCCUUGGCAGUCAGAGGCGAUGAAAGACGUGGUAGCCUGCGAAAAGCUUCGGGGAGUCGGCAAACAGACUUUGAUCCGGAGAUCUCUGAAUGGGGGAACCCACCUAGGAUAACCUAGGUAUCUUGUACUGAAUCCAUAGGUGCAAGAGGCGAACCAGGGGAACUGAAACAUCUAAGUACCCUGAGGAAAAGAAAUCAACCGAGAUUCCCUUAGUAGUGGCGAGCGAACGGGGAUUAGCCCUUAAGCUUCAUUGAUUUUAGCGGAACGCUCUGGAAAGUGCGGCCAUAGUGGGUGAUAGCCCCGUACGCGAAAGGAUCUUUGAAGUGAAAUCGAGUAGGACGGAGCACGAGAAACUUUGUCUGAACAUGGGGGGACCAUCCUCCAAGGCUAAAUACUACUGACUGACCGAUAGUGAACCAGUACCGUGAGGGAAAGGCGAAAAGAACCCCGGAGAGGGGAGUGAAAUAGAACCUGAAACCGUAUGCGUACAAGCAGUGGGAGCCUACUUGUUAGGUGACUGCGUACCUUUUGUAUAAUGGGUCAGCGACUUAUAUUCAGUGGCAAGCUUAACCGUAUAGGGUAGGCGUAGCGAAAGCGAGUCUUAAUAGGGCGUUUAGUCGCUGGGUAUAGACCCGAAACCGGGCGAUCUAUCCAUGAGCAGGUUGAAGGUUAGGUAACACUGACUGGAGGACCGAACCCACUCCCGUUGAAAAGGUAGGGGAUGACUUGUGGAUCGGAGUGAAAGGCUAAUCAAGCUCGGAGAUAGCUGGUUCUCCUCGAAAGCUAUUUAGGUAGCGCCUCAUGUAUCACUCUGGGGGGUAGAGCACUGUUUCGGCUAGGGGGUCAUCCCGACUUACCAAACCGAUGCAAACUCCGAAUACCCAGAAGUGCCGAGCAUGGGAGACACACGGCGGGUGCUAACGUCCGUCGUGAAAAGGGAAACAACCCAGACCGCCAGCUAAGGUCCCAAAGUUGUGGUUAAGUGGUAAACGAUGUGGGAAGGCUUAGACAGCUAGGAGGUUGGCUUAGAAGCAGCCAUCCUUUAAAGAAAGCGUAAUAGCUCACUAGUCGAGUCGGCCUGCGCGGAAGAUGUAACGGGGCUCAAACCACACACCGAAGCUGCGGGUGUCACGUAAGUGACGCGGUAGAGGAGCGUUCUGUAAGCCUGUGAAGGUGAGUUGAGAAGCUUGCUGGAGGUAUCAGAAGUGCGAAUGCUGACAUGAGUAACGACAAUGGGUGUGAAAAACACCCACGCCGAAAGACCAAGGGUUCCUGCGCAACGUUAAUCGACGCAGGGUUAGUCGGUUCCUAAGGCGAGGCUGAAAAGCGUAGUCGAUGGGAAACAGGUUAAUAUUCCUGUACUUCUGGUUACUGCGAUGGAGGGACGGAGAAGGCUAGGCCAGCUUGGCGUUGGUUGUCCAAGUUUAAGGUGGUAGGCUGAAAUCUUAGGUAAAUCCGGGGUUUCAAGGCCGAGAGCUGAUGACGAGUCGUCUUUUAGAUGACGAAGUGGUUGAUGCCAUGCUUCCAAGAAAAGCUUCUAAGCUUCAGGUAACUAGGAACCGUACCCCAAACCGACACAGGUGGUCGGGUAGAGAAUACCAAGGCGCUUGAGAGAACUCGGGUGAAGGAACUAGGCAAAAUGGCACCGUAACUUCGGGAGAAGGUGCGCCGGCUAGGGUGAAGGAUUUACUCCGUAAGCUCUGGCUGGUCGAAGAUACCAGGCCGCUGCGACUGUUUAUUAAAAACACAGCACUCUGCAAACACGAAAGUGGACGUAUAGGGUGUGACGCCUGCCCGGUGCCGGAAGGUUAAUUGAUGGGGUUAGCGCAAGCGAAGCUCUUGAUCGAAGCCCCGGUAAACGGCGGCCGUAACUAUAACGGUCCUAAGGUAGCGAAAUUCCUUGUCGGGUAAGUUCCGACCUGCACGAAUGGCGUAACGAUGGCGGCGCUGUCUCCACCCGAGACUCAGUGAAAUUGAAAUCGCUGUGAAGAUGCAGUGUAUCCGCGGCUAGACGGAAAGACCCCGUGAACCUUUACUGUAGCUUUGCACUGGACUUUGAGCCUGCUUGUGUAGGAUAGGUGGGAGGCUUUGAAGCGUGGACGCCAGUUCGCGUGGAGCCAUCCUUGAAAUACCACCCUGGCAUGCUUGAGGUUCUAACUCUGGGACGG